rnacentral:rRNA from 1 species
UGGGGAAUUUUGCGCAAUGGGGGCAACCCUGACGCAGCAACGCCGCGUUCGGGACGACGGCCUUCGGGUUGUAAACCUCUUUCAGCAGGGAAGAAAUUCGACGGUACCUGCAGAAGAAGCUCCGGCUAACUACGUGCCAGCAGCCGCGGUAAUACGUAGGGAGCGAGCGUUAUCCGGAUUCAUUGGGCGUAAAGAGCGCGUAGGCGGCCUCUCAAGCGGGAUCUCUAAUCCGAGGGCUCAACCCCCGGCCGGAUCCCGAACUGGGAGGCUCGAGUUCGGUAGAGGCAGGCGGAAUUCCCGGUGUAGCGGUGGAAUGCGCAGAUAUCGGGAAGAACACCGAUGGCGAAGGCAGCCUGCUGGGCCGCAACUGACGCUGAGGCGCGAAAGCUAGGGGAGCGAACAGG